rnacentral:rRNA from 1 species
AACGAACGCUGGCGGCAGGCUUAACACAUGCAAGUCGAGCGCCCCGCAAGGGGACCUGCACGCGGGUGAGUAACGCUUGAGAACGUACCCUUAUCUUCGGGAUAGCUCCGUUAAACUGGAAUUAAUACCGAAUGUGCCCUGUCGGGGCAAGAUUUAUCGGAAAAGGAUCGGCCCGCGUUGGAUUAGCUAGUUGGUGGGGUAAAGGCCCACCACGGCGACGAUCCAUAGUUGUGCUGAGAGGCUGAUCAGCCACAUUGGGAGUGUGCCACGGCCCCAACUCCUACGGGAGGCCGCAGUGCGUAAUAUUGGACAGUCGCAGCAAGGCUGAUCCAGCAAGGCCGGGAGAGUGAUGAAGGGCUUAGGGUUGUAAAGCUCUAUCACCGGAGAAGAUAAUGACGGUAGCCGGAGAAGAAGCCCCGGCUAACUUCGUG